GACGAACGCUGGCGGCGUGCUUAACACAUGCAAGUCGAACGGAAAGGCCCUGCGUUUGUGGGGUGCUCGAGUGGCGAACGGGUGAGUAACACGUGAGUAACCUGCCCUUGACUUUGGGAUAACUUCAGGAAACUGGGGCUAAUACCGGAUAGGAGCUCCUGCUGCAUGGUGGGGGUUGGAAAGUUUCGGCGGUUGGGGAUGUACUCGCGGCUUAUCAGCUUGUUGGUGGGGUAGUGGCUUACCAAGGCUUUGACGGGUAGCCGGCCUGAGAGGGUGACCGGCCACAUUGGGACUGAGAUACGGCCCAGACUCCUACGGGAGGCAGCAGUGGGGAAUAUUGCACAAUGGGCGGAAGCCUGAUGUAGCAACGCCGCGUGCGGGAUGACGGCCUUCGGGUUGUAAACCGCUUUCGACUGUGACGAAGCGUGAGUGACGGUAAUGGGUAAAGAAGCACCGGCUAACUACGUG
rnacentral:rRNA from 1 species